CUUCAACUUUCUUCAUCCCUCUCUCUAUCGGUUUCUAUAUCUCUCCCCAAAUUCUUUAUUUGCAAUUGAAGUACUCAUAGAACUUGGCUGAAAAGAUACUUUUUGGAGUUCAAGAAAUAGGCUUGGAUCAUCAAGGAGGGAGCCGCACGUCGAACAUCGCUCGUUCACGGUUUGGUGGUGAAAUCCGUCACCUGUUUUUGUCACUCUUGAGCAACCAUCAUGUGCCUGAACAGUAUCCUGGGAGCUGAAAUAACUUGGAGGUUACAUAUAUAUCGAGUAUCACCACGGUUUCCGUCCGACACCGUUCUCGCAGCCUUGUCGUCUAGUUUAAGCUCACUCUAGUUUCACGAUCCGCAAGAAUCAAGUCGAACACUCACGGAAAGCGAACUCGAGUUAUUCACCGUCUCGUCUUUCAAUCGCAUCCUCCCUUACUUUUGUCGGAAAUUAUUUUGGACAUUUGAUUUUGCUAGCAUACACAUAGCAAGCUUAUGAUUCAAGUCAGUUUAUCUUGCACAAGGAUAUCGAG